GUGUCAGCCGCCGCGGUAAGACGAAGGUGGCAAGCGUUGCUCGGAAUCACUGGGCAUAAAGCGCGCGUAGGUGGCUUGAUAAGUCGGUGGUGAAAUCCCAUGGCUCAACCAUGGAACUGCCGUCGAUACUGUCAGGCUUGAGGGCGGUAGGGGAGAGUGGAACUCCUGGUGUAGCGGUGAAAUGCGUAGAUAUCAGGAGGAACGCCGGUGGCGAAAGCGACUCUCUGGGCCGUUCCUGACACUAAAGCGCGAAAGCUAGGGGAGCAAACAGGAUUAGAUACCCGUGUAGUCC
rnacentral:rRNA from 1 species